rnacentral:rRNA from 1 species
GAUCAUGGCUCAGGAUGAACGCUGGCGGCGUGCCUAAUACAUGCAAGUCGAACGAGGUGCUUUUGUAGCAAUACGAGAGUAUCCUAGUGGCGAACGGGUGAGUAACGCGUGGAUGGCCUGCCCCAAAGUGUGGGAUAACAGUCCGAAAGGAUUGCUAAUACCUCAUGUGGUUAUCGGUUUUAGAAAGCGAUAACUAAAGCAGCAAUGCGCUUUGGGAGGGAUCUGCGUCCCAUCAGCUAGUUGGUGAGGUAACGGCUCACCAAGGCGACGACGGGUAGGGGACCUGAGAGGGUGGCCCCCCACAAUGGAACUGAAACACGGUCCAUACACCUACGGGUGGCAGCAGUAGGGAAUAUUGCUCAAUGGGCGAAAGCCUGAAGCAGCAACGCCGCGUGUGCGAUGAAGGCCUUCGGGUCGUAAAGCACUUUCUAAGAGAUGAGAAAGGACAGUAUCUUAGGAAUAAGUCUCGGCUAACUACGUG